UGGUGGAGCGAUUUGUCUGGUUAAUUCCGAUAACUAACGAGACUCUAGCCUGCUAAAUAGUUCACCGAUUGCCUUCUGUCGGUGUUAACUUCUUAGAGGGACAAGUGGCGUUUAGCCACACGAGAUUGAGCAAUAACA
rnacentral:rRNA from 1 species